GUUGUGUGCCAUAGCUUAUUAGCAACAGAAGAGAAAUUAUAGCACACUAUUGCUGAUACCACAAGGGAACACAUAUUUGUGGUGUCUGUCUUUCAUGUGUUUUUAUUUUAGGAAAUGAAUGCUGAUGUUAGGCAACUUAACCCCUUCCUUGUGACUUUUGCUCCUGUUUGCAAGCUGGGUAUCUCUUACACAGGCAUUAACAAGUAGGCUGACUGUCGGGACAAGCCCAGAGAUAGCAUUGUUUGUAUUUGCUGAUAAAUGACUCUGGGACUGUGAAGACUCAGAACCAAGGAGUGACUCAGAAAGUCAGGGGCCCAUGUCAUUCUGCUCUGGGCUCAGACGCGCAGUGCAGCAGCACCAGGACUUGACAGCCCUACGGCUCGAUCAGCUUUCUGUUUUCAUUGCUUUAUGAUGCCGUGAGUGGAACUAUUGGCAAAUCAGAGUUCACACCCCAGCUUUUCAGUCUUUCCCCUAAUUCUUGCUCUAUCAGAGGUCGAGGACAACAGUAUAAUGAUUCAUAGGCCCUACUUCCUGGCAAGUAAUCAUUUUCCCACGAUUGGUCCUCUGGGAAGCCCCUGGAUCAAGCUCCAAUUCUGGCAGUUUCAAGAACAAUAGAAAAAGUUCCAGCAUGGCUUAUUUUAUUCAUUCCACAAAUAUGUAUUCAGAGUGUACCAAAUAUUGAAUGCUACUAUGUUGAUUGGGGACACAGGAUGUAUAAUCAUUACAACAUAUUGAAGAUGGAGGGAAAACACAUAGAGGAAACUAUUUUGGUGCUUUUGUGAUUCUGGCCCUUGUGAAUUGAUGAAUAUGAAGGCACUAAGAAAGCAGAAAUAGAACUGAGAAGAAUGAAAUAACUGUCUCUACCUUUCUCGAAUUGUCUAAUUUGGAAGGACUGAAAGACAGCUAAUAAGCAACUCUCUGCAAGAAGACAUAUGGCUUAGAUUCCGCUGAGCUAUUGAUGAUUGAUUCCAUGCAUAUAUAUUAACUGCUGGUAUAUGUAUAUACAAUACAUGUGCUUCUGCAAAGAAUCAUAGACUUGAUGCAUUUUUAAAUAUUUCUUAAGGACUUACUACUGAGUGUCAGUAUGAGAGGAUCGUUUACUUCCUUUUCCCAUUAAUUUUGACAGCCUGGAUUGAGCAACUUUCUUCUUACCUAGUAUUGUUUUAGGAGGUGCAUUAGCUUUUUCUUUGUCUGUAUGUUUGUGUGUGCGUAGCUUUAUUAACCAUAUUGUUUGGGCUUUUGAUAAAGCAGAGAUUCUGAUAUGGUAUACAUUUUGAACUAAGCAUUCAUUGAAUAAAUGAAUGGGGAUGUAUGUUUAAGACACUGUGCUAACCAAGGGUGAGAAGGGGUGUGUAAUGGUAGAUGAGCAAGGUGAGAUAAGAUAUUAAAAGACACCUGCUGAGAAUGUUAUUUUAUAUGGCAGAAAGAUGUUUGCAGAUGCAGUUAAGUUAAGGACCUUGAGAUGGGGUACGUUAUCUCGGCAGGCCCAAUGUAUACAUCAGGGUCCUUAUGAAAGGGAGGCAGGAGAACAGAAUGAGUAGUGAGAAGAGUGAAUGGACAAUAUUGAGGACAUGCUUAGGGACCCAAAGAAGCUUGCUAUGGUAGGGCUUGGUGGACUCUGCACUGGUGAGAAAGGCUAGGCCAUGCGGCGGAAGCAAACAAAUCUGUGUUGUAAAGUGACAGAGUUUCUCUCUUGCUCAUGCCAAGUCUGCUAAAUGGCUGAGUGAUUCUCAAGGGCAGCCCUCACUCAUGUGAUGGGUCUGCUGUGUGUGCUUUCCUGGUAGCCAGGCAGGUCAGGAGAAUGUUAGAAAUGAAACCCUUCCUUCUGGUGGCCGAAAGAAGUCACAUGGCCACAUCUGUUGAUAAUUUGAAGGUGGUAGGACAAUAUAAUAUUCCCUUGUCCUAAAAGAGGGAAGCUAGAAAUAUUAGUAAGUAGCACAUAUAUCUUCUCCAUGAUCUCAACUUUGUUGGGUAGAGAGGCAUUUUAAAUAACUUUGGAAUUUACAUAUAUUCCUUAAAUAUCUAGUGAUAACUCCAUGUCUAAAUCCAGGGUACCCACUUUCUUCCUUAAAGAUGUUUGAAAGUCCUGCGUUCUCUCAGUAUUGUUACAGAGCCACAUUUCAGUUGAAUUGUUAGUGCUGAGAAAAGCAUUAUUUAUUUUAUUUCUAUGUUAGGUUUUUUUAGAGACAGGGUUUUGCUAUGUUGCCCCGGCUGAUCUUGU